UACGGAGGGUGCGAGCGUUAAUCGGAAUUACUGGGCGUAAAGCGCGCGUAGGCGGUUUGCUAAGUCCGCUGUGAAAGCCCUGGGCUUAACCUGGGAACUGCAGUGGAUACUGGCAGGCUAGAGUAUGGUAGAGGAGAGUGGAAUUUCCGGUGUAGCAGUGAAAUGCGUAGAGAUCGGAAGGAACACCAGUGGCGAAGGCGGCUCUCUGGACCAAUACUGACGCUGAGGUGCGAAAGCGUGGGGAGCAAACAGG
rnacentral:rRNA from 1 species